AACCAAAGUGUUGAGUUCAGUUCAGGGUCUUGUCCCUGUUCUGGUAAUUAAGCUUUGGGACAGAAAGGACUGGGAAGUGCACCCUGGUGACUGAAAGCUUCUUUAAGCCACCUGUGUUUCUCAGCCUACAAAC
rnacentral:snoRNA from 1 species